UCCCUUGGGCUCACAAAAUAUCUUUCCUCUUGGAUAUCCCCAGACUGUCACGGCCACAACAUUCCUCCAAGUGCAUUUUAGGAGGAAAAUAAACCUAUUAAGAUGCAUCAAAUGUCAUGGCUCCCAGGACAGAUUUUGAAUUUUUUUGUUCCAACUGGCUCUGUUGUUUCCCCCUGACCCUGUUCUCCCCUACCACACACCUCUCCAGGACUUCCCAGGCGGCUUCUUACCCUGAAAGACAAACUCCACUGAGUAUGAGUGGAAUUUGGUAGAAAUGACAUAGGCAUUUCCUUCUUUGUCUGUGCACUUCUUCAGUUGGGGGGUCCAAUUCCCGCCACCCCCAGUCACCCAAGAUCCCCCUUUAGGCCACUUGGUCACGGCUCGUAGGAGCUCCCCAACCAUUGAACAAGAAUCCCGUGAAACCGGUCGCUUUUCUUGCAAAACAUUUCAGUCGGUUUAGGUGAAAAGUGAUGCCGGGACUGCUUGACCUCGGGGCCCGAGCUGCGUACGCAGGGGUCUGGGUGCAUUUGAUCUCCACUCAAGCCUUCUGUGGUCAACAGGCUUGAAGACCAAAGCACCGCAACUUCAAAGAUGAAAGGCAUUAAGUUCAAGCAAGGCCAGAAAAUUAUCAAGCUUUCGACGAGCUUGACUUCGUCCUGAGCUGAAGUACUGGGUGGAAAGUCACAAAGACCUCCUGUAAGCCUCCAGCGUUUGUUCCCACACUCACUGUUGGGUGAAGAAGGGUCUCCAGGACUCAGCGGAGAGACUCUUCAUGUCAUCUUGAGCCACUCGGGAAAAAAAAAAUCCCACGGGGUGAAGGGUGUGACUUCCUGACACACAAGUGCUCUUGACAUACGGAAACCUUACGGUUGGUUUUACGCUCGUUUUUCAGCACUUAUAUUCCUGAGCAAUCUCUGGCUCUGCCCAGAUUAAAUACUGAGGCACUGGGUUGCUGGAGGGGAGCGACUGUGGGAGUCCCCUGCGUUGCUGUGCUUAUGCUUGGAGUUACGGCUCAAUAGGAUAAAUGGACAUAACCUUCUUCCAGCACCCGUUGACUAAUUACCAAUAAUUAAGAACAAAUGCAAAACACAGGCAAAACUUGACGAAAACCACAAACUGUUACUUGAAUAUAAAUAGCAUCAAUAAAUAGCUAAUAGAUGAGAUGAAGAUGGCAACCAAUGGCACUCAGAAAUACAGUCUAGCGUAGUUGGGGUUCAUAAGACAAAUAAAACCAUUUAUCUGUUUCGCCAGGGGUUUCACUUGCGUAGCUCGUUUCAAGAUUCCUUUCACGUUUCUGGCCAAGGGAGGUAGGUUGUGCUUUUCUCAGCCUCUUUAGGACAUACACUGACAAAAACUCCCUUUCUGUUGCGUCCUUCCUUGCUCAUCAUCAGCACCUCCAACACUUGAAGCUCUAAGAUUUUGGUAUGAAAGGUAUCGCUUAGACUGCUCAGGAGCAAGAAGACCAGAUUUCAUCCUUAGAUAUCUAGAACAAUAUUUUCUGUUAUGGAAUGUCGCUAGGCAAUAGCCAUCAGUUUGACCUCCAGGAUGCAGCAGCCCGUGGUCUUCAGAGAUGGGUGACAGCCCCAGUGAGCCGGUGCCGUGGCAGCAUUGAAGUCACAGCUGGGGCUUGGUGGUGGUGUGGGACAGCCGUGGCUCCUGUGGCCUGUCGCGUGGCCCUGGGACAAGCCAAACGCACCUUGAAGGGGACAAAGUGAUCGGGUGUCCACGCUGAGAUCAGAACAGGGGAGUUACUCAGCCCAUGCUUUGCUGCAGCAUCGCAUUUUUUUAAAUGCUACAUGCCUUCUCCACUUAACCCAUCUGCAUCUCCUGCCUGGACCACUUGCCUGUGCAUCAAAAUGCCACUCUGGGUGACACGUUCGGUCAGCAGGCAGCAACUCUAAUUUGAUGAGCGAGGAUCUGAUUGAGCCAUUAAUGUAACAGACCCAACAGAUAACAUAGCGGAUUUAGCAGCUGACUCGGCCAAGUGUCUGUUUUCACGAUACAAACGGUUUGAUAAAUUGCGUCCUUUCCGGUGGACGACAACAUUUGUUCAGCACACGGUGUGUCUCGUGGAGCUGCGUCCUCUUUCUUAAUAGGAGACACGUUUGGAUCAUUAGGUGAGAAAUGUCCCGUGGGAGCCGCUCCGCUUCAUCCGAGAGUUGAUGCUCCCCAGCAGCAAGUAUCUCAGCGAGACCGCUGCCCGUCCACAAGUUUCGUUCUCUCUGUCAGUGCACGAUGCAGCUGAAUUCCUUCGGAGGCUGGGAAUGAAUAACUCUUUGUAGCAGUAGUCCUCACGGAAGGGAAGAAGCAAGAUAAGAUUGAAAAUUUUCUCUGAGAGAUCAUUUAUUGGAGGCUAUACAGGAGUAACAGCAGCGAGAGGGGUGUGGAGGUAUCAAGACUCGUGGGUCACUUAGGGACAAACAGGAAUUUCUGCCCUAAGCCGGGAUUUCCUCCCUCAGAAAUGGAAAAAGGAGGCGAAAGCUUUUGCUGUUGGUCAUAUGAUAUCCAUGAACCAAUGUGGGAUAGCAGCGGCGGAGGCUGAUGUGACCCCAGGUGAGGAAUUUCUACAGGAAAAAGGAGUAAUUUCUGCCCUGGUACCAAGUACCAGUGAGAUCCCAUCUGGAGUCUGUUCCUCGUUUUGGUCACUCACGCUCAGGAGAGACUGUUUUGUUCUGAAACGGGUAUUGGGAGGAGCUCAACGGUGGCAUGAUCGGCACAAGGGCCCGUCUUCCAAGGGGAAACUGAAAAGCUUGGCUUGGUUAGCCCUGCGACAGGGAGGCCAAGAAGGGGUACUGCGGUUUUUAUACACGGCGUGGGGAGGAGUAAACGCUAGAGAGCGAGAUAAAAUGUUUAAGGUAACAGGUUAUGUUGGCACAAGAGCAAAUGGCUAUGAAGGAUGGACCCGUAAUAGCGUGUUCAGACUGGGGGAUUUCAGUCAAUCGAAGGAGACCAGUUCUAGGAUAACCUUUCAGGCUGAGUUGUGGGGAGCAGGAAAUCACAUUGCUUUAAGGAUGGAGAUUCAUUGACUUGUGAAAAAUAGUAUGAAGUGGGGAAAGGGGAUUGGCAUUGGAAACUAGACAUCCUUUUCAACCUGAAGCCUCUUUGUACAAGCACAAACUGAGGAAAAAAAUUAAUUUGGCAGCGGAUCCUACUCCAUCCAUGGAAUAGGAUGCAUUUGGUGUGGUGCCUCUCCUGCAGCCAGAGCUCCAGGAACAAACCCUGCUGCCACCAAGAGGCUGAUACACCUGACUCGGGAUGCAGGAUCCAGUGAGCCCGUAUUUCAGAGCUCGUCAAACUUCUGAAAUCUCCCUUGGGAAAUGAGACCAUGCCUCUAGUCCUGGCACGUGUGGUUAAAGACCUCUCUACCUUAACAUUUAUGUCAGUACUCGGAAUACGUGUCUCAUCCUCAGUGAAAAUGCUACCAAUCUUCUUCAGGGAUAUUCCAUAUCUUACUUGGCUGGGCAGUGAUGGACCAUGGGUGUGCAGUGGGUCCACGCUCCCCGUAUCUGCUGAUGCUCACUCACGGGACAGAUCACACAACAGAGCUGUUGGUUUUCUGCCACGGUUCAAAGCUGUAGGGGAUCCUCUGUUCCCUCGUUACAACCCGGUGGAAUGGAACAAAUGAUAAAAUUAUUUGCCCAAUUUGCUUGGUGAUUUGUUCUCUUUCUCAUAGAGACUGGCUUUUUUGCAAAAACUGAAUCAAGCUGUAUUGUCUGAGAAUAAAGACAAGCUGCUAAUAUCAAGUUCAAAACAAGUGCAUCCAUGACUGCCACAAUUUUGAUGCUCCAUAACACCGACUCACUUCUUUCUACAAUUUAAAGUUGGUGACAGACUUUUAGCGGGGCAGCACCUGUGAGCCUGCUUCAAGACAUCCCUUUGAAGAGGAGGGGAAAGCCGCUCGAACUGACGCCCCUCAUUUCCGUGCUUGGAGCCCGUGCACCAGCUGAACCGGGGACACCAGUGAAGGUAACGGCAAAACCAGCCCUCACAUCUACUGCAUUUUCAACUUAGGCAGCAUCGCUUGUCAGCCCAGGGAGGGUGGCAGUAACAUCGCAGGGAAAUCUGGAUUGUUACUGUAUUUUCAAGAGGGAAAAAAAAUGCUACUUUUAAUAAAUCACAAAAGGACAUAGAACAACAGUACCAUCUCCUGAUUUUGCAGGUUUUCUAUCUUGUCAUUUAAGCUUUCCACAGUGGGAUGAACAGAAAAAAAAAAUCUCCCCCUCCUUGUCCUUCCUCGUUAUGUGCAUAUAGUCCCCUUGGCCCCGCCACAUCCUUGAAAUACGGGGUUUGUGAUGCUCUCUGCGGAGAGGUGAGGCGAAGGACCUUCCUCGCCCGCAGCGAGCGUGCUUCGCUGUUCCAGGAGACGUCAUCCCACCAGCAGCGAGGGUCUGCGUGACUCCUGCAUCUUCCCAAGUCACCUCAAGGCUACCUGGCAGCCAAGCGCAUCCAGGAGAAGGAGGUUUCCUUCCCAAAACUCGGUGUCCCUGAGGCACACGCUCCAUUAAAUGGUCAUUAGCCACAGGGUGACUAAAACACCUGCCUGAAAUCCAGACUGCUGCCUCCUGUGCUGGAACGUUUCCAGCUGGCACUGCCAGCAGCCACGGGCUUUUUCGUCUCCGUGGGCUGUGCAAUUCAAAACCUGCAGCAGCUACAGCCUCUGAAUUGAAAAGCAAGUAAUUUAAAUGCUAUUUGCACAGGGGAGCUGUUAUCUUACUAAAAGUUGAUGGAUUUCACGGAGUCUGAGGGUGGAGGGCUCCAUCCCUUGUGAGAGGUGUGAACCGCUCACCUCGGGGUCUCGCACAGCACCAGUCGCUGCUUAUAUUUAGGUAACUCUGGGCUGAGAUUGAUGAUAGUGGUUAGAAACUGCAGUAGUCCUCAGGCAGUAAAAUAAGAUGUUCCAGAAACAAAACCUCCGAAGCACCUAUUUCUUCAUCUCUCCUGUGGCUCGUCGCUGAUAGUUCAAAUCAGCCAAGAUGCAUCUGAUCAGCUGAGCACAGAGGAAAACACUUUCUAACUCCGUUUUCUUUAUUGACAGAGUCCCAAUGUAACCACUUCAUUAAUUUAUCCCUGAUUUGAGUCUGUUUAUUCAGUCUGGUAUCAUUCCCUUUUAAGUACCGGAUCAUGUCCUUUGGCACGUCUCCAGUUUUCCAAAGUUUGUUAAGAUCUAAAAUUACUAAAUUAGAGAGUCCUGAACUACUGGUCUUAAGACUGGGAGUGUAUAUGACUCCAGACUUCUGAACCGAAAGUGUUUAUAUUUAGCAGGUGAUGCUUCACAUUCUCCUUGGUUACAGACGGUAAAUUAUUUCAUCUGGUGUAGCUGGAUCCUACUACUUUGCUCUGAUAUAGUAAAGCAGGAAUUAUGACAUUUGUUGUGGGGUUUUUCCUAUCAUCUGAUGGAUACAAAUGGUAAAACUGUAAAUAACAGAGAAGCUAUUUCUAAACUAAGAUUCCCAAUGACAUUUUAAUGUCUUCUUGCUGUCUGUAGCAUACUUAAGCUUUUAUAUUUCUUCUAUUUCUUUUGCCUUGCAUUCUCAAAAAUCUGCCUGCAAUAUACAUACUACCAAGGAGUAUCUGUUCUGAACACCUCUUCUGAACUCAUCCUUCAGAUCCAUAAAUCUUUCUUCUCUGUUGAAAUAUUGCUCUGGCCUGACAAAAUACUAAUCCAAUGACAUUUUACAUAAAUCUCUGUCUUAGUAGUUGCAAGUGUAGUAAUCUUUCUCGCUUGGUGAGACCAAAGUUGUAAGUGAUAGGCUAUCAAACAGGUAUUUCACGUUUUUAAAUGAGCAUCUCAAAACAGUGAUCUUUCAGCCCCUGAUAGGCAGACUGCCUCCUUUAUGAAGGGUCGAUGGAGAGAAGAGGGGUCCCUCUGGGCUGCGACUCAAGUUCCUUCUGAACAAGAUGAAGACGGAUCUGUCAGGGAGGUUAGGAUGGGAGUUGGCAGGCUCUACCCACCGCAGCCACAGAACAGGGCUACAGAGCGAGACGUCCGCUGCCUAUAGCUUCAGGAGACCAGAGCUGUGGAAAGAGGCAGAUCUGCAGGGCCACCAUCCUCUUUCCUCCAGAAACACUGCCCAACGCAUCCCCGUAUCGAGCGUGCCUGGCUCCAGCCCAUCUCUCCAGGCACAGCAUCCUGGCACCUACCUCCUAGCGCCCACAGCCCACCUGCUGGCUCUUCCCCGCUCACAUCCCAGCGUUGGCUGUUCCUCAAAAACAUCGUGUAUUUGGCACGAGGGAGCUCCCUAGGACAGCGCAGCGCAGCUGACGUCCUCUAGAAUCACCGGGCAAAAACGAAGAACGUGCCAUGUGUCCAGUCCGCCUGCUUUUUGCUCCGUCCCCCUUGCAAAACCAAGCAGCUGCUUGCAGCUUAUCCACCCAAGCAGGACACCUUCCCCUUGGCUGAGGCAAUCGGGCGCUCCUGCCAAGGCAGGACGAACAUCUGCAGCGAGGAGCUGGGACCAUGUCCCGCUUCCCCAGCCAGCAAAAGCUGAGCUGCUGCCAGCAAGGGAGGAGGUUUCUGCUGGUACACGAUCGCUGGCAGAAUGCUGAUGCAUCUGUGUGGUUGACUCCUCACACACGCUCGUCCUUCCCUGAACUCACGCCCUUUUUCCCUCCCUCCCCCAUCCUCCUCCUCCUCCUCCUGUUUUUAGGCAUUCCUUUCCCUUUGUCUCCACGUCCUUGGAGCUGCCUCCUGCCCACACAUCUGCAGCAGCGGCAUCACAGAGGUCCUGCUGCGUAGGUGCCUCUAUACAGCAUCAUCCUUCACGCUGCAGCCGAGCCGCCUGCCUCGGGGAGGUUGGCAUGAAGACAUGUGAAAUACGAGAGCAUCUGGUUCAGUAAGUUAUUUGGUUAAGGACUAUUCCGUAUCAUAGAAAUAGCAAAUAACGAGGAAACCGCUAAAUUAAGCGCACAGACACACAAACAUUAAUGAGCAGGUGAUAAGAGAGAUAAUAACGGAGGCCAGAGCUCCUCAGGCACUGGCUGAUGGGCCAUUAAAAGAACUACUCCAGCCUUGGAGAGGGUCAGCCUCGAUUUUGUAACUGAUAAGGAGGAAACGUAGUUAGCGUGGAUAUUAAGGGAUAUUUGAGGGAGCCUGGGGGACUGCACGAAACUUACUAUGGGAUGUUUAGGGGAAGGACCGAAGACCCAGGCAGGGAAGGAUCAGGGUGGAACAAGUAUGGGAAGAUGGCAAGGAGGGAGGCUGGAGGGGUCAGACACAUGCGAGCAGGACGUUCACCUGACUGGGCCCUGCCCCGAUCCCUCCAGUCUGGCCUGUCUUCUUGUUAAAUCCCGUUCUUAAUUACCUUUUCUGUGUCAUCUCACUGUCUGUCCUGUGUGCCAGCCCCUGGAGAAGGGGCCAUGGGUGACAGGGACCACAGGUCCGCCUGUCAUCACCAGAGAGACGGGGAGGUAUGUGCUUAUCUGAGGGGUGUUGAGUGCCAGCACCCGCAGCAACCUGGCUGUGUUUAUAUUUCCAUAGUGAAUUUAGUCCCAUCUGCAUGUAAUUUUGCUAGCAUCAAGCUGCACUAACUGGUGAGUAGAAGAAAAGACUCAAGGAUUUUCAAGAGAUCCAUGAGCGUGGGGUGCCUGCAAAGGCAGAGAAUAUGGGAGAGCACUGAGGGAAAAAAGGGCCACAAAAGCACCAACCAGCAAAGAUACUCUAUCCCAACACCGAGAUGUGUAAAUACACUGGCUGAACAGAGUAUCCAUAAAAAUAGUGAUGUUUGCUCAAAGUUACGUUGCAGGGGUUUUUUGGAGCCAACCUGGAACUCUCCUGACAGUAGACAGACAUUCACCAGUCACCCUCCCAGAAUACCAUUUGCGAGUGUGCUGGGCUUCAGACUUGAAGUAAAUGCAAAGCCUCAACUGCAACAAGAAGGAAAAUGUGUUUUAUUAAGUAAUUACAACUUGCCAAGAGGCACUCAGCACAGGCAGGCUACUAAGAAAGCAGCGCCUACAAAUAAAUAUAAACCCAGUGGAACUGGGGUAAUAGGAGAGAACCUGCAAAGACGGUAAGGCAGCUCCAUUCA